rnacentral:rRNA from 1 species
ACGAGUGGCGGACGGGUGAGUAAUGUCUGGGAAACUGCCCGAUGGAGGGGGAUAACUACUGGAAACGGUAGCUAAUACCGCAUAACGUCGCAAGACCAAAGAGGGGGACCUUAGGGCCUCUUGCCAUCGGAUGUGCCCAGAUGGGAUUAGCUAGUAGGUGGGGUAACGGCUCACCUAGGCGACGAUCCCUAGCUGGUCUGAGAGGACGACCAGCCACACUGGAACUGAGACACGGUCCAG